CCUACGGGAGGCUGCAGUGAGGAAUAUUGGUCAAUGGGCGAGAGCCUGAACCAGCCAAGUCGCGUGAGGGAGUACUGCCCUAUGGGUUGUAAACCUCUUUUGUCGGGGAGCAAAAGCCGGACGUGUCCGGCUGUGAGAGUACCCGAAGAAAAAGCAUCGGCUAACUCCGUGCCAGCAGCCGCGGUAAUACGGAGGAAGCGAGCGUUAUCCGGAUUUAUUGGGGUUAAAGGGUGCGCAGGCGGAUUUUUAAGUCAGCGGUCAAAUCGUGGGGCUCAACCCCAUCCAGCCGUUGAAACUGGGGAUCUAGAGUGUGCGAGAGGUAUGCGGAAUGCGUGGUGUAGCGGUGAAAUGCAUAGAUAUCACGCAGAACCCCGAUUGCGAAGGCAGCAUACCGGUGCACAACUGACGCUCAGGCACGAAAGCGUGGGUAUCGAACAGGAUUAGAUACCCGUGUAGUC
rnacentral:rRNA from 1 species